UACGAAGGGGGCUAGCGUUGCUCGGAAUCACUGGGCGUAAAGGGUGCGUAGGCGGGUCUUUAAGUCAGGGGUGAAAUCCUGGAGCUCAACUCCAGAACUGCCUUUGAUACUGAGGAUCUUGAGUUCGGGAGAGGUGAGUGGAACUGCGAGUGUAGAGGUGAAAUUCGUAGAUAUUCGCAAGAACACCAGUGGCGAAGGCGACUCACUGGCCCGAUACUGACGCUGAGGCACGAAAGCGUGGGGAGCAAACAGG
rnacentral:rRNA from 1 species